rnacentral:lncRNA from 1 species
AGCCGACCAUUGCAUUGUCCCUGGAUGGGUUUUUGAUGAUUCCAUACAACCCCAAUGCCGGAUCCAUGGAUUUGAGAAACAACCCCACCCGGGGUUUGACCCUGCUGACGCCGGAUCUGGCCGGCAUAUGGCACCGUGAGCCAUUAGAGGAUCAGGCGUAGCCGCCGGCCACGGCCAUGGUCUCCCUCCCAUUUUUUUUUUUUAAAAAAAAAAGGGAAAAGAUAAAACUCACCGGAGUUAGUGCGGGUGGUUCGACCGCCCGAGUGACGCCGUCGGGCGGCGUUUCGUCCGGCGUCGGGCCCAUCCCCGUGGCGCCGUCGGGCGGCACUUCGUCCGGCGGCAUGAUCGCCGCCCGCUGCACCAAAGGGCCGACGGGCUGGGUUCGGCGGAACCCCAGCCCGCCGGCGUUGCCCCUGCUGGCGUGCGACCGCCGGUGGCCUCGCCAUCGGGCGGCGAGUCUACCGUAGGCAGGCGGCGCGCUCGUCGCCCGGCGACCGGAGGC